GCCCUAGUAACGGCGAGUGAAGCGGCAAUAGCUCAAAUUUGAAAGCUGGCCUUUGGUCCGCAUUGUAAUUUGUAGAGGAUGCUUUUAGGCAGCCGCCGGUCUAAGUUCCUUGGAACAGGACGUCAUAGAGGGUGAGAAUCCCGUAUGUGACCGGCUCAGGCACCUUCUGUAAAGCUCCUUCGACGAGUCGAGUUGUUUGGGAAUGCAGCUCUAAAUGGGAGGUAAAUUUCUUCUAAAGCUAAAUACUGGCGAGAGACCGAUAGCGCACAAGUAGAGUGAUCGAAAGAUGAAAAGUACUUUGGAAAGAGAGUUAAAAAGCACGUGAAAUUGUUGAAAGGGAAGCGCUUGCAAUCAGACUUGGCCUCGGUUGUUCAACCGGUCUUUUGACCGGCCUAUUCAAUCGGGGGAGGCCAGCAUCAGUUUCGGCGGCCGGAUAAAGGCCUUGGGAAUGUGGCCUCUCUUCGGGGGAGGUGUUAUAGCCAGGGUGUAAUACGGUCAGCUGGGACUGAGGUCCGCGCUUCGGCUAGGAUGCUGGCGUAAUGGUUGUAAGCGGCCCGUCUUGAAACACGGACCAAGGAGUCUAACAUCUAUGCGAGUGUUAGGGUGUCAAACCCUUACGCGUAAUGAAAGUGAACGGAGGUGGGAACCCGCAAGGGUGCACCAUCGACCGAUCCUGAUGUCUUCGGAUGGAUUUGAGUAAGAGCAUAGCUGUUGGGACCCGAAAGAUGGUGAACUAUGCCUGAAUAGGGUGAAGCCAGAGGAAACUCUGGUGGAGGCUCGCAGCGGUUCUGACGUGCAAAUCGAUCGUCAAAUUUGGGUAUAGGGGCGAAAGACUAAUCGAACCAUCUAGUAGCUGGUUCCUGCCGAAG
rnacentral:rRNA from 1 species